rnacentral:rRNA from 1 species
UAAUACGGAGGGUGCGAGCGUUAUCCGGAAUCACUGGGUUUAAAGGGUGCGUAGGCGGCGAGGUAAGUCAGUUGUGAAAUACCCCGGCUUAACCGGUGGGAGUGCGAUUGAUACUGCUUUGCUUGAAAGAGGUUGAGGUAAGCGGAAUGUGGCAUGUAGCGGUGAAAUGCAUAGAUAUGCCAUAGAACACCGAUUGCGAAGGCAGCUUGCUGGGCCUUCUUUGACGCUGAGGCACGAAAGCGUGGGGAGCAAACAGG